AUUGAACGCUGGCGGCAGGCCUAACACAUGCAAGUCGAACGAGCGGCGGACGGGUGAGUAAUGUAUGGGAAACUGCCUGAUGGAGGGGGCUAACUACUGGAAACGGUGGCUAAUACCGCAUACCAUCGGAUGUGCCCAGAUGGGAUUAGCUAGUAGGUGGGGUAACGGCUAACCUAGGCGACGAUCCCUAGCUGGUCUGAGAGGAUGACCAGCCACACUGGGACUGAGACACGGCCCAGACUCCUACGUGAGGCAGCAGUCGGGAAUAUUGCACAAUGGGCGCAAGCCUGAUGCAGCCAGGCCGCGUGUAUGAAGAAGGCCUUCGGGUUGUAAAGUACUUUCAGCGGGGAGGCGUUACCCGCAGAAGAAGCACCGGCUAACUCCGUGCCAGCAGCCGCGGUAAUAC
rnacentral:rRNA from 1 species